AUACUUACUUGUUGUCGGGUUUUCCGGUGAUCACCGAGGCCGGGCUCCCGUGCUGAGGCUCACCAUUGCAUUGCGUUGAGCUGAUGUACGCCAUCUAUCCCAAACCGGGAUAGAUGGGGCAUGUAAUUUUUGGUAGUGGGGCUCAGCAUUCGCGCGAGCCCCU
rnacentral:snRNA from 1 species